CACGAAAGAGUAUGAGAAGUGACACAAGGAGGCAAGCAAGGCCAACUUUGAGUGCAAAGGUAACCCUGUUUGUGUCCUGCCUAGCGAAGUCCCAGACAUCACAUAGCCUUUUACUUGGGGACUGGCCUUUCUCACUGAUCUGCUUCUUUACACUUUCUUGCUCCACGCUUUUUGGUGGCUGGCAAAUAUCUAUCCUUAUACUACCCUUCUUGCCAUUCAUUCUCCAACUGAGGAUGUCCUUUACACAGUAGCUCUAGGGACUGCACGGAGAACCUCAGAUAAUGCCAAUGUGGCUGCUGUAUUUGUGCUUGAGUUGAGCUGUUGAAGUGUAGAGUCUUAUGGAUGGACAGAGGGUAUAUAUAGCCCAUUGGGAGGUUAAAGUGCAAGUAGAUAAAGAGGUGGUGUAGCCACCAUAGUGUCACAUUAGGAGAAUAUAGCUUCUGAAAUAACUGAUGGAAAUAUUAAUGCAGGUGAUUUUCGAGAUGCUCUCACUCAAUAAUGUAGGUAUUGAUAGAGAAUUGGAAUCUAUCAUCUGAAAUAAUGCCAUCUUUCCGGUACUGAUUUGUAGUUUAUGGUCUAUUGUUUCCCAGGUUCGCAGCUUCACGUUGUCUGAGAGUGAACAUGUUUGGAGCAGAUCCUUAAUAGAGGCAUGUCGUCUUUAUUUUGGAUGGAUACUACCACGAAAUAUCAUCAAUAGAAUGGUUUUAGACUCUCCACCACAUGCAUAUAUUCUAAAUGCAUACGUGAAGCAAUCUCCUGCUUAGAUCCACGAGACCAAAAUCUCGACUCUCAAGAAUGAACUUUUGGUGUGAUCAGAAAAAUCUUUAGUGGUUCAUGGACAACAGGGAAAACCCAGAAGUUGAAGGAUUUCUGCUAGUUUUGCUUACUAGUAUGGUUCUUGCUGUUUGAUAAAUACUGCAUACUCAUCAGCUUAUAUAGCAAAUUUCUUU
rnacentral:lncRNA from 1 species